UACGGAGGAUGUGAGCGUUGUCCGGAUUUAUUGGGUUUAAAGGGUGCGUAGGCGGACUGUCAAGUCAGCGGUAAAAUUGAGAGGCUCAACCUCUUCCCGCCGUUGAAACUGGUGGUCUUGAGUGGAUGAGAAGUACGCGGAAUGCGUGGUGUAGCGGUGAAAUGCAUAGAUAUCACGCAGAACUCCGAUUGCGAAGGCAGCGUACCGGCAUCCAACUGACGCUGAGGCACGAAAGCGUGGGGAUCAAACAGG
rnacentral:rRNA from 1 species